AUUGAACGCUGGCGGCAGGCCUAACACAUGCAAGUCGAGCGGAUGAAGGGAGCUUGCUCCUGGAUUCAGCGGCGGACGGGUGAGUAAUGCCUAGGAAUCUGCCUGGUAGUGUGGGAUAACGUCCGGAAACGGGCGCUAAUACCGCAUACGUCCUGAGGGAGAAAGUGGGGGAUCUUCGGGCCUCACGCUAUCAGAUGAGCCUAGGUCGGAUUAGCUAGUUGGUGGGGUAAAGGCCUACCAAGGCGACGAUCCGUAACUGGUCUGAGAGGAUGAUCAGUCACACUGGAACUGAGACACGGUCCAGACUCCUACGGGAGGCAGCAGUGGGGAAUAUUGGACAAUGGGCGAAAGCCUGAUCCAGCCAUGCCGCGUGUGUGAAGAAGGUCUUCGGAUUGUAAAGCACUUUAAGUUGGGAGGAAGGGCAGUAAGUUAAUACCUUGCUGUUUUGACGUUACCAACAGAAUAAGCACCGGCUAACUUCGUG
rnacentral:rRNA from 1 species